UGGGGAUAUAGCUCAGCUGGGAGAGCGAUACGUUCGCAACGUAUAGGUCACGGGUUCGAAUCCCGCUAUCUCCAU
rnacentral:tRNA from 2 species